GACGAACGCUGGCGGCGUGCUUAACACAUGCAAGUCGAACGGAAAGGCCCUGCUUUUGUGGGGUGCUCGAGUGGCGAACGGGUGAGUAACACGUGAGUAACCUGCCCUUGACUUUGGGAUAACUUCAGGAAACUGGGGCUAAUACCGGAUAGGAGCUCCUGCUGCAUGGUGGGGGUUGGAAAGUUUCGGCGGUUGGGGAUGGACUCGCGGCUUAUCAGCUUGUUGGUGGGGUAGUGGCUUACCAAGGCUUUGACGGGUAGCCGGCCUGAGAGGGUGACCGGCCACAUUGGGACUGGGAUACGGCCCAGACUCCUACGGGAGGCAGGAGUGGGGAAUAGUGCACAAUGGGCGGAAGCCUGAUGCAGCAACGCCGCGUGCGGGAUGACGGCCUUCGGGUUGUAAACCGCUUUCGCCUGUGACGAAGCGUGAGUGACGGUAAUGGGUAAAGAAGCACCGGCUAACUACGU
rnacentral:rRNA from 1 species